GAUGAACGCUGGCGGCGUGCCUAACACAUGCAAGUCGAGCGAACCCUUCGGGGUGAGCGGCGGACGGGUGAGUAACGCGUGGGUAACCUGCCCUGUACACACGGAUAACAUACCGAAAGGUAUGCUAAUACGAGAUAACAUAUGAGAGUCGCAUGGCUUUCAUAUCAAAGCUCCGGCGGUACAGGAUGGACCCGCGUCUGAUUAGCUAGUUGGUAAGGUAACGGCUUACCAAGGCAACGAUCAGUAGCCGACCUGAGAGGGUGAUCGGCCACAUUGGAACUGAGACACGGUCCAAACUCCUACGGGAGGCAGCAGUGGGGAAUAUUGCACAAUGGGCGAAAGCCUGAUGCAGCAACGCCGCGUGAGCGAUGAAGGCCUUCGGGUCGUAAAGCUCUGUCCUCAAGGAAGAUAAUGACGGUACUUGAGGAGGAAGCCCCGGCUAACUACGUGCCAGCAGCCGCAGUAAGAC
rnacentral:rRNA from 1 species